rnacentral:rRNA from 1 species
GAUGAACGCUGGCGGUCUGCUUAACACAUGCAAGUCGAACGAACUCUUCGGAGUGAGUGGCGGACGGGUGAGUAACGCGUGAGAAUCUGCCUGUGGGUCGGGGACAACCACUGGAAACGGUGGCUAAUACCGGAUGAGCCGAAAGGUAAAAGAUUUAUUGCCCACAGAUGAGCUCGCGUCUGAUUAGCUAGUUGGUAAGGUAAAAGCGUACCAAGGCGACGAUCAGUAGCUGGUCUGAGAGGAUGAGCAGCCACACUGGGACUGAGACACGGCCCAGACUCCUACGGGAGGCAGCAGUGGGAAUUUUCCGCAAUGGGCGAAAGCCUGACGGAGCAAGACCGCGUGGGGGAGGAAGGUUUUUGGAUCGUAAACCCCUUUUAAUAGGGAAGAAUUCUGACGGUACCUAUUGAAUAAGCAUCGGCUAACUCCGUGCCAGCCGCCGCGGUAAU